GACAGAGGGUGCAAACGUUGUUCGGAAUUACUGGGCGUAAAGCGUGUGUAGGCGGUCUUCUAAGUCGGGUGUGAAAUCCCUGGGCUCAACCCAGGAAGUGCACUCGAAACUGGAGGGCUAGAGUAUCGGAGAGGUUGGUGGAAUUCUCGGUGUAGAGGUGAAAUUCGUAGAUAUCGAGAGGAACACCGGUGGCGAAGGCGGCUAUCUGGGCUGAAACUGACGCUGAGGCGCGAAGGCUAGGGGAGCAAACAGG
rnacentral:rRNA from 1 species